rnacentral:rRNA from 1 species
AGUGAACGCUGGCGGUAGGCCUAACACAUGCAAGUCGAACGGCAGCACAGUAAGAGCUUGCUCUUACGGGUGGCGAGUGGCGGACGGGUGAGGAAUACAUCGGAAUCUACCUUUUCGUGGGGGAUAACGUAGGGAAACUUACGCUAAUACCGCAUACGACCUACGGGUGAAAGCAGGGGAUCUUCGGACCUUGCGCGAUUGAAUGAGCCGAUGUCGGAUUAGCUAGUUGGCGGGGUAAAGGCCCACCAAGGCGUCGAUCCGUAGCUGGUCUGAGAGGAUGAUCAGCCACACUGGAACUGAGACACGGUCCAGACUCCUACGGGAGGCAGCAGUGGGGAAUAUUGGACAAUGGGCGCAAGCCUGAUCCAGCCAUACCGCGUGGGUGAAGAAGGCCUUCGGGUUGUAAAGCCCUUUUGUUGGGAAAGAAAAGCAGCAGGUUAAUACCCCGCUGUUCUGACGGUACCCAAAGAAUAAGCACCGGCUAACUUCGUG